AUUGAACGCUGGCGGCAGGCCUAACACAUGCAAGUCGAGCGGAGGAAGGGAGCUUGCUCCUGGAUUCAGCGGCGGACGGGUGAGUAAUGCCUAGGAAUCUGCCUGGUAGUGGGGGAUAACGUCCGGAAACGGGCGCUAAUACCGCAUACGUCCUGAGGGAGAUAGUUGGGGAUCUUCGGACCUCACGCUAUCAGAUGAUCCUAGGUCGGAUUAGCUAGUUGGUGGGGUAAAGGCCUACCAAGGCGACGAUCCGUAACUGGUCUGAGAGGAUGAUCAGUCACACUGGAACUGAGACACGGUCCAGACUCCUCGGGGAGGCAGCGGUGGGGAAUAUUGGACAAUGGGCGAAAGCCUGCUCCAGCCAUGCCGCGUGUGUGAAGAAGGUCUUCGGAUUGUAAAGCACUUUAAGUUGGGAGGAAGGGCAGUAAGUUAAUACCUUGCUGUUUUGACGUUACCAACAGAAUAAGCACCGGCUAACUUCGUG
rnacentral:rRNA from 1 species